rnacentral:rRNA from 1 species
UACGUAGGUGACCAGCGUUGUCCGGAUUUACUGGGCGUAAAGAGCGCGCAGGCGGUCGAUCAAGUCGAGUGUGAAAGCCCCCGGCUCAACUGGGGAGGGUCAUUCGAUACUGAUCGACUCGAAGGCAGGAGAGGGUAGUGGAAUUCCCGGUGUAGUGGUGAAAUGCGCAGAUAUCAGGAGGAACACCGAUGGCGAAGGCAGGUCUCUGGGCCACUACUGACGCUGAGAAGCGAAAGCAUGGGGAGCGAACAGG